rnacentral:rRNA from 2 species
UUAAGCGACUAAGCGUACACGGUGGAUGCCCUGGCAGUCAGAGGCGAUGAAGGACGUGCUAAUCUGCGAUAAGCGUCGGUGAGGUGAUAUGAACCGUUAUAACCGGCGAUUUCCGAAUGGGGAAACCCAGUGUGUUUCGACACACUAUCAUUAACUGAAUCCAUAGGUUAAUGAGGCGAACCGGGGGAACUGAAACAUCUAAGUACCCCGAGGAAAAGAAAUCAACCGAGAUUCCCCCAGUAGCGGCGAGCGAACGGGGAGGAGCCCAGAGCCUGAAUCAGUGUGUGUGUUAGUGGAAGCGUCUGGAAAGGCGCGCGAUACAGGGUGACAGCCCCGUACACAAAAAUGCACAUAUUGUGAGCUCGAUGAGUAGGGCGGGACACGUGGUAUCCUGUCUGAAUAUGGGGGGACCAUCCUCCAAGGCUAAAUACUCCUGACUGACCGAUAGUGAACCAGUACCGUGAGGGAAAGGCGAAAAGAACCCCGGCGAGGGGAGUGAAAAAGAACCUGAAACCGUGUACGUACAAGCAGUGGGAGCCUCUUUAUGGGGUGACUGCGUACCUUUUGUAUAAUGGGUCAGCGACUUAUAUUCUGUAGCAAGGUUAACCGAAUAGGGGAGCCGAAGGGAAACCGAGUCUUAACUGGGCGUUAAGUUGCAGGGUAUAGACCCGAAACCCGGUGAUCUAGCCAUGGGCAGGUUGAAGGUUGGGUAACACUAACUGGAGGACCGAACCGACUAAUGUUGAAAAAUUAGCGGAUGACUUGUGGCUGGGGGUGAAAGGCCAAUCAAACCGGGAGAUAGCUGGUUCUCCCCGAAAGCUAUUUAGGUAGCGCCUCGUGAAUUCAUCUCCGGGGGUAGAGCACUGUUUCGGCAAGGGGGUCAUCCCGACUUACCAACCCGAUGCAAACUGCGAAUACCGGAGAAUGUUAUCACGGGAGACACACGGCGGGUGCUAACGUCCGUCGUGAAGAGGGAAACAACCCAGACCGCCAGCUAAGGUCCCAAAGUCAUGGUUAAGUGGGAAACGAUGUGGGAAGGCCCAGACAGCCAGGAUGUUGGCUUAGAAGCAGCCAUCAUUUAAAGAAAGCGUAAUAGCUCACUGGUCGAGUCGGCCUGCGCGGAAGAUGUAACGGGGCUAAACCAUGCACCGAAGCUGCGGCAGCGACACUAUGUGUUGUUGGGUAGGGGAGCGUUCUGUAAGCCUGUGAAGGUGGCCUGUGAGGGUUGCUGGAGGUAUCAGAAGUGCGAAUGCUGACAUAAGUAACGAUAAAGCGGGUGAAAAGCCCGCUCGCCGGAAGACCAAGGGUUCCUGUCCAACGUUAAUCGGGGCAGGGUGAGUCGACCCCUAAGGCGAGGCCGAAAGGCGUAGUCGAUGGGAAACAGGUUAAUAUUCCUGUACUUGGUGUUACUGCGAAGGGGGGACGGAGAAGGCUAUGUUGGCCGGGCGACGGUUGUCCCGGUUUAAGCGUGUAGGCUGGUUUUCCAGGCAAAUCCGGAAAACCAAGGCUGAGGCGUGAUGACGAGGCACUACGGUGCUGAAGCGACAAAUGCCCUGCUUCCAGGAAAAGCCUCUAAGCAUCAGGUAACAUCAAAUCGUACCCCAAACCGACACAGGUGGUCAGGUAGAGAAUACCAAGGCGCUUGAGAGAACUCGGGUGAAGGAACUAGGCAAAAUGGUGCCGUAACUUCGGGAGAAGGCACGCUGAUAUGUAGGUGAAGCGACUUGCUCGUGGAGCUGAAAUCAGUCGAAGAUACCAGCUGGCUGCAACUGUUUAUUAAAAACACAGCACUGUGCAAACACGAAAGUGGACGUAUACGGUGUGACGCCUGCCCGGUGCCGGAAGGUUAAUUGAUGGGGUUAGCGGUAACGCGAAGCUCUUGAUCGAAGCCCCGGUAAACGGCGGCCGUAACUAUAACGGUCCUAAGGUAGCGAAAUUCCUUGUCGGGUAAGUUCCGACCUGCACGAAUGGCGUAAUGAUGGCCAGGCUGUCUCCACCCGAGACUCAGUGAAAUUGAACUCGCUGUGAAGAUGCAGUGUACCCGCGGCAAGACGGAAAGACCCCGUGAACCUUUACUAUAGCUUGACACUGAACAUUGAGCCUUGAUGUGUAGGAUAGGUGGGAGGCUUUGAAGUGUGGACGCCAGUCUGCAUGGAGCCGACCUUGAAAUACCACCCUUUAAUGUUUGAUGUUCUAACGUUGGCCCGUAAUCCGGGUUGCGGACAGUGUCUGGUGGGUAGUUUGACUGGGGCGGUCUCCUCCUAAAGAGUAACGGAGGAGCACAAAGGUUGGCUAAUCCUGGUCGGACAUCAGGAGGUUAGUGCAAUGGCAUAAGCCAGCUUGACUGCGAGCGUGACGGCGCGAGCAGGUGCGAAAGCAGGUCAUAGUGAUCCGGUGGUUCUGAAUGGAAGGGCCAUCGCUCAACGGAUAAAAGGUACUCCGGGGAUAACAGGCUGAUACCGCCCAAGAGUUCAUAUCGACGGCGGUGUUUGGCACCUCGAUGUCGGCUCAUCACAUCCUGGGGCUGAAGUAGGUCCCAAGGGUAUGGCUGUUCGCCAUUUAAAGUGGUACGCGAGCUGGGUUUAGAACGUCGUGAGACAGUUCGGUCCCUAUCUGCCGUGGGCGCUGGAGAACUGAGGGGGGCUGCUCCUAGUACGAGAGGACCGGAGUGGACGCAUCACUGGUGUUCGGGUUGUCAUGCCAAUGGCACUGCCCGGUAGCUAAAUGCGGAAGAGAUAAGUGCUGAAAGCAUCUAAGCACGAAACUUGCCCCGAGAUGAGUUCUCCCUGAGUCUUUGAGAGUCCUGAAGGAACGUUGAAGACGACGACGUUGAUAGGCCGGGUGUGUAAGCGCAGCGAUGCGUUGAGCUAACCGGUACUAAUGAACCGUGAGGCUUAACCUU